UAAACGAUUUCCGACCUAUAAUCCGAUAUUGAGAAGUGCAAAUGCUGGAUUAAAAAGCCUGUGGACGGCCACAAGAGAAACUGAAUGUCAACAGGACAAACCAGCACGAAGAUGUCUGCUCGAAGCACUUUCAUGGAGGAAAUGGACCAUCUAAAGAGUAUCCUGACCCACCAUCAGCUGAUGGCUGGAGAAUAACAUCUUCAAGAAAACUCCCCACAAAGCGGUCACUUGGAAAGGAAACUUAUGGCAGCAUUUAUACACAAAAUGCAAGUGUAUGCAUUUAAUACAAGAUAUCACAUGCCUAGAAAAGCUGGUCCAGGAUCCUGCAGACACUGUACCAGGAGUAGAAACACAGACCGAAUGUCCAUGGACGUCACCUUUGGAUGUUUGCACUUACCGCUCAAAAUGCUUCCCUAAAAGAACAGUUGUCACAAAAAGAAGUCCAAGUUGCACAUUCCAUUGUUGGGGAAUACUUGUGUAACUUUGUUGAUCAGGAACAUGGGUGAAGUUGUGCAACU